AAUGUUGUGCCUGAUAAAAGGAUUACCAUGAUAGGGUAAAUAAUGUAAUAAUAUUAAUGUUAUCUUCAUUA
rnacentral:tRNA from 1 species